UGCUACAAAUAAGAAAGGACCUGGUAGUAAACUUGAAAGAUUUCCCAGACCUUAUAAGCCUGAUUCAGAAGACAGCUCAAGGAAGGGAGAGAAACUUAAGGAUCAGAAACCUUCCAUAUGUACUCUCUGUGAUCCAGAAUGUCAACCAGGACUCAUGGAUAGAUUAUUAUUAGAGCGGAAGUCUUUAUGU